GAUGAACGCUGACAGCAUGCUUAACACAUGCAAGUCAACUUGAACUUCGGUUUGGGUGGCGGACGGGUGAGUAACGCGUAAAGAACUUGCCUCACAGCUAGGGACAACAUUUGGAAACGAAUGCUAAUACCUGAUAUUAUGAUUAUAUGGCAUCGUAUAAUUAUGACAGCUAUCUGCGCUGUGAGAGAGCUUUGCGUCCCAUUAGCUAGUUGGAGAGGUAACAGCUCACCAAGGCGAUGAUGGGUAGCCGGCCUGAGAGGGUGAUCGGCCACAAGGGGACUGAGACACGGCCCGUACUCCUACGGGAGGCAGCAGUGGGGAAUAUUGGACAAUGGACCGAGAGUCUGAUCCAGCAAUUCUGUGUGCACGAUGAAGUUUUUCGGAAUGUAAAGUGCUUUCAGUUGGGAAGAAAAAAAUGACGGUACCAACAGAAGAAGUGACGGCUAAAUACGUG
rnacentral:rRNA from 1 species